UGACAUUGUCCACUGCAUUUAGCAGAAUAGU
rnacentral:piRNA from 1 species